UACGUAGGGAGCAAGCGUUGUCCGGAAUCAUUGGGCGUAAAGCGCGCGUAGGUGGCUUCGUAAGUCCGUUGUGAAAGUCAAAGGCUCAACCUUUGAAAGCCGAUGGAUACUGCGGAGCUAGAGUACGGAAGAGGCGAGUGGAAUUCCUGGUGUAGCGGUGGAAUGCGCAGAUAUCAGGAGGAACACCAAUAGCGAAGGCAGCUCGCUGGGACGUUACUGACACUGAGACGCGAAAGCGUGGGGAGCGAACAGG
rnacentral:rRNA from 1 species